CUGAGAUGAUGGUGGCUAUUUGUGACUGCUUUCUGUGGCAUUUUUAGCUUCAUCAUGAUGGUGCUGUGACUGAGAUGAUGGUGGCCAUUUAUCACUGGUUUCACCUGCAUCUUUAUAAUGUUGGUCCUUUGGGGUAGGUGCGUACUGCUUUUUGAUCAUUUGUUUCCUUCUUUGUUGCUCUAUGGAGGAAGAACAUAGGUUAAUAAGCGAGUUUUCGAACGAACUAAUGAACGAUCGUUAAAACGCCACAGUAAAAUAAUCACAAUUACAUGACAAAGAGUUACCCAAACUCAUUUUUUUUGAUGAUCCUCAUAAUACUUUUCAGCUGAUCUCUUUCUUUCAAUUUCAGAUCUGACCAUCUCUUCCUCAAUUGAUCCUUGGAACGAGUCACUCCAAAUUUCACGUGAAGAGCUUCAAGUACUUCAUUUAAAAUAUUAUCUUUCCUUGUAUUGGGCCGACUGUAGUGAGUUUUUUUACAGUCAUAAUCCUUUAGUUGGAAAUAUUGUACCAAAUCAUCUCUGCACGAGACAUAGGACUUGCCCUUCUUUUAUCUAUAUCCAAGGUCCCCUGUUGUUGCCUGGCUUCACCUUUUUUUGGAUUGCCUGGAGAGUGGAUUGCCCAUGUCCUCAGACACAGCCUUCGCAGCACUACCUCCUUCAGUGUUCAUCUCCAUUCUGAGUAGUGAGUACAGUGACGCAGCAAACAGGAAGUGACAUAACCGGAAGUACUGGAAUGAAGAAACGUAUUACGAACGUUUUGGCUCACGCUACGCAGGUACAUUUUCUGAUUGGUCAGGGCACUUUGAACAAACAAAUGACACAGCUGUUCCGUGAUUUGUCGCUUUUGAAUGAACGAACGAAAGAACAUUCACACACACGCUGUAGCAGUGGCGUGGUCUUGCGAGACAAACGAAAACAAAAGGCUUUGCUUGUAGCCAGCAGAUUCAAACGAACGUUCGUUGGCGUACUGUGCUGGGUGAUUUGCAGUUGGCGCUAUUUCAUACAAAGGUACAAUGACAGAGAAAUUUCUCAACCCUGAAUUUCCGAAGGAAUUUAUUGAUAUGUACCAUUCAUUGCCAUGCUUAUGGAAAGUUAAAUCAUAGGAUUAUUCUAAUCGUCACAAAAGAAAUGAGGCAUAUGCAAAGCUUAAUGAAUUAUGUAAAAGAAUUAAUCCGGCAUCCAAUGUUGAUUUCAUAAAAAACAAAAUUUCCAUAAAAAAAAAAAAGUCCGGGGCCUCUGCUGACGAUGUUUAUGUUCCUCGGCUGUGGUACUAUGACCUCCUGACAUUUACUAUUGACCGGGAGGUAUCCAGAAACUCACUUUCGAGCUAUGAAACAAAUGAGCAACUCCAAAGCCAAAAUGAUACCAUAUCAGAAUUCACACAAGCUACAGUAUCAUCAAUAAAUGAAAGUACUCAAAAUAACACUGUAAACAAUGAAUUUCAACCCUCUACCCCACGCUCUGAAGUUCAACCCUCUACUCCACGCUCAUAAAGUAAUGCAACCAAAAAUCGAAAGCCAAAACAAAGGAUGGAUGAUUUCAGCAAUCAAAUUUUAUCAGAUGCUGAAGCACUCCUUCACAAGCCUGGGGAUGAGUUUGAAGCAUUUUCUUACACAGUAGCAUCCAAACUAAGAAGAAUGGAUGGAGACCAAAGGCUUAUUUCUGAAUUAGUUUUGUUGCACUUGUAUUAUUAGUUUAUUAUUAUAUUUAUUAUUAUAUUGUUGUUAUAUUAUUAUUUAUUUGUUGUUUUGGCUGCUCAUUUUCUAGGACAUCAAACUAGUGUGGAAAAAAAAUGGUUAUUUACCUGUAAAUAUUCUUGCUUGAGGGCUUCCGCAAUUGCACGACAUGUAUCUGGGAUUAUAUGGCCAAGUGCUUAUGCAGAUAUUCCCGUAGAGAAUUUUAGAUCCUCAAAUGUCCUUCCUGUUGCCAAAAAUCUUAGGGGCCCAUUCACCAAGCUCAGGUGAAUGAAUAGAGGGAAUAAAAAGCUCGAAUUUCGAGUA